GAAUCUGUAGGUGAUUUUAUCAUUUGUACCAACUGUUAUUUGCCUUCACCUAAAAAGAGUUAUUAAUGUGCUGCAGAGUACCUUGAGAUGCAUGAAACCACUUGGUUGAUGUUGGUUAGGUGGUUAUAAGUAAAGGUUAGUCUUGAGCUCAUACUAAUUAGACUCUUGAGUGAUUCAGUUUCUACCACAAUGAAGUUUAUGAAGCUUUGGGUCAAAGCCUGAUUCUUUUCAGGAUGACGACGACUGUGUAAUAUUUGUGACAACUGGGUUGGCAACUGACAUCAUUGUGAAUGUUGGAGAUGUGAAGUUUAAUCUACAUAAGGUUGUACAACUAGGUGGGAAAGAUAUGCUUGCAAUGCUUCAUAUUGGCUUGCAAAAGUGCCGGAAAAUUGAAUGUUUUUGUAAGUCAAAUAUUUAUUUUACCCCCUUAAUGACUGUGAGAUUUAAUGCACAAGCUUCUCCCUUUUCUUUUAUUGUAAAUAUCAUGUACAAAAUUGUCAAAUCUAAUAAAAUUCCAGU